GCAGUCGAGGGGCAGCAUGGUCUUAGCUUGCUAAGGCUGAUGGCGACCGGCGCACGGGUGAGUAACACGUAUCCAACCUGCCGUCUACUCUUGGCCAGCCUUCUGAAAGGAAGAUUAAUCCAGGAUGGGAUCAUGAGUUCACAUGUCCGCAUGAUUAAAGGUAUUUUCCGGUAGACGAUGGGGAUGCGUUCCAUUAGAUAGUAGGCGGGGUAACGGCCCACCUAGUCAACGAUGGAUAGGGGUUCUGAGAGGAAGGUCCCCCACAUUGGAACUGAGACACGGUCCAAACUCCUACGGGAGGCAGCAGUGAGGAAUAUUGGUCAAUGGGCGAUGGCCUGAACCAGCCAAGUAGCGUGAAGGAUGACUGCCCUAUGGGUUGUAAACUUCUUUUAUAAAGGAAUAAAGUCGGGUAUGCAUACCCGUUUGCAUGUACUUUAUGAAUAAGGAUCGGCUAACUCCGUGCCAGCAGCCGCGGUAAUACGGAGGAUCCGAGCGUUAUCCGGAUUUAUUGGGUUUAAAGGGAGCGUAGAUGGAUGUUUAAGUCAGUUGUGAAAGUUUGCGGCUCAACCGUAAAAUUGCAGUUGAUACUGGAUGUCUUGAGUGCAGUUGAGGCAGGCGGAAUUCGUGGUGUAGCGGUGAAAUGCUUAGAUAUCACGAAGAACUCCGAUUGCGAAGGCAGCCUGCUAAGCUG
rnacentral:rRNA from 1 species